GAUGAACGCUGGCGGCGUGCCUAAUACAUGCAAGUCGAGCGAACAGAUGAGGAGCUUGCUCCUCUGACGUUAGCGGCGGACGGGUGAGUAACACGUGGAUAACCUACCUAUAUGACUGGGAUAACUUCGGGAAACCGGAGCUAAUACCGGAGAAUAUAUUGCACCGCAUGGUUCAAUAGUGAAAGACGGUUUUGCUGUCACUUAUAGAUGGUUCCGCGCUGGAUUAGCUAGUUGGUAAGGUAACGGCUUACCAAGGCAACGAUGCGUAGCCGACCGGAGAGGGGGGUAGGCCACACUGGAACGGAGACACGGACCAGACGCCUACGGGAGGCAGCAGUAGGGAAUCGGCCGCAAUGGGCGAAAGCCUGACGGAGCAACGCCGAGUGAGUGAUGAAGGUCUUCGGAUCGGAAAACUCUGUUAUGAGGGAAGAACCAAUGUGUAAGUAACUAUGCACGUCUUGACGGUACCUAGUCAGAAAGCCACGGCUAACUACGUG
rnacentral:rRNA from 1 species